UGNGAAGGAUAAAGUUUAGCGGGCCUCUGC
rnacentral:piRNA from 1 species